AUAGCCUGCCCAGUGACACAUGUUUAACGGCCGCGGUAUCCUAACCGUGCGAAGGUAGCGUAAUCACUUGUUCUUUAAAUGAGGACUAGUAUGAACGGCACCACGAAGGUUAUACUGUCUCCUUUCUCCAAUCAGUAAAACUAAUCUCCCCGUGAAGAAGCGAGGAUAAAUUUAUAAGACGAGAAGACCCUAUGGAGCUUUAAACUAACCAGCAUUUGCUAUAUACAAAUUUUAACUUUAGACAAUCUAGCCCUCUGACUGGUAAUUUUCGAUUGGGGUGAUCACGGAACAAAAAAUAACCUCCGUGUCGAAAGGAUAAACCUGAGCAAAAAGCGACAGCUUUCCGCACUAAAAAAUUAACGUUCAUUGACCCAAUAUUUUGAUCAACGAACCAAGUUACCCUAGGGAUAACAGCGCAAUCUACUUCAAGAGUCCCUAUCGACAAGUAGGUUUACGACCUCGAUGUUGGAUCAGGGUACCCCAGUGGUGCAGCCGCUACUAAAGGUUCGUUUGUUCAACGAUUAAUACCCUACGUGAUCUGA
rnacentral:rRNA from 1 species